ensembl:snRNA U6 U6 spliceosomal RNA
GUUUUCAAUUCAGCACACAUAUACUAAAAUCAGAAUGAUACAGGGAAGAUUAGCAUGGCCCCUGGGCUUGGAUGACAUGGGAAUUUGUGAAUCUUCACCAUUUCUC